AACGUUUCGAAAGGAACGCUAAUACCGCAUACGUCCUACGGGAGAAAGCAGGGGACCUUCGGGCCUUGCGCUAUCAGAUGAGCCUAGGUCGGAUUAGCUAGUUGGUGGGGUAAUGGCUCACCAAGGCGACGAUCCGUAACUGGUCUGAGAGGAUGAUCAGUCACACUGGAACUGAGACACGGUCCAGACUCCUACGGGAGGCAGCAGUGGGGAAUAUUGGACAAUGGGCGAAAGCCUGAUCCAGCCAUGCCGCGUGUGUGAAGAAGGUCUUCGGAUUGUAAAGCACUUUAAGUUGGGAGGAAGGGCAGUAAGCGAAUACCUUGCUGUUUUGACGUUACCGACAGAAUAAGCACCGGCU
rnacentral:rRNA from 1 species